CCUACGGGUGGCUGCAGUGGGGAAUAUUGGGCAAUGGAGGAAACUCUGACCCAGCAACGCCGCGUGAAGGAUGAAGGUUUUCGGAUUGUAAACUUCUGUCGCGAGGGACGUAGAAUGACGGUACCUCGUAAGAAAGCCCGUGCUAACUACGUGCCAGCAGCCGCGGUAAUACGUAGGGGGCGAGCGUUGUCCGGAAUGACUGGGUUUAAAGGGAGUGUAGGGGGCAAUAUAAGUUAGAUGUGAAAGCCCGCGGCUCAACCGCGGAACUGCAUCUAAAACUAUAUAGUUUGAGUACAGGAGAGGUGAGUGGAAUUCCUGGUGUAGCGGUGGAAUGCGUAGAUAUUAGGAGGAACACCAGAUGCGAAGGCGACGCACUGGACUGUAACUGACGCUGAGGCUCGAAAGCGUGGGUAGCAAACAGGAUUAGAUACCCCAGUAGUC
rnacentral:rRNA from 1 species